AUUGGCCAAAAGAAGUGUUGUGUCUAGAAAUGUUCGCACAUGAAUCGUCAUAGGGCGUGCUACCCAUUGCUGGUCUCACCCAUGGGUCUUUAGCAUUGUAAUUACUGCUAUGAACCGCCGAAUACCUACCACAGCUUUAAGCUACUGGCUUUCCUGGGCUCUUCUCCAGCUUUCCAUGAGGACUACAGUGCAUCUCAUUUCAAGUAACCAACUGGUAAUCAAUAACCUGUGUGAAAAACACAAGAGGCAAGUAGCAGGAGAUAGAGCAGUGCAGAGUUGUGGACACCGUCCCGGAGUUGAAGAUUGCCUGCUCCUGCUUAACUCGAAUCUUGACCAGGUGAAUUAACUUCUCUAAGCCUCAGUUUUCCUUCCUGUGGAUUUCAGGAAAGAAGAGAGUGAUGUCGGCAAUAUGGCAGAUAAGGAAACUCCAGACCCUUGUUCAUCCAUAGAAGAUACUUUAAAAAAGAAAACUAGAGACUACUAAAAUAGCUUUAUAGGAGCUCUGGAAACCAGUCAAAGAUCUACAGCAACGAACUGACUACUCAAUAAAGAAAAGCCACAUUCAACAUUCAACAUGGUAGGAUACUUAGCGGCAUUUUUUUCUCUCCCUUAUCCUACCACCUCCCCAGCAUGGCACAGUCAGGAAGGAGCUGCCCAAUUCCUAGCUCCUCCCUCAGGCUGGAAGGAACAGAGUAGAACUCAUAUGUAACAUCUUAAUCAAUCUGUGGGCUACCUGAGGGAUUGGCUUCUGUCUGGCCUGAAUCAGGGCAUAGAGAAGGAACAGCAGCAUAGCUCAGAUCUUGGUCUGGCAGAAGCAGCAGAAAGCAGUGGCAGGUACCUCAAUGUGUGAAAACCGCAGGAGGACUGCAGACCUGCAGAUGCCUGGAGGACGAGAAUUUGGGCAGAGGAAU
rnacentral:lncRNA from 1 species